GAUGAACGCUGGCGGCGUGCCUAAUACAUGCAAGUCGAGCGAACAGACGAGGAGCUUGCUCCUUUGACGUUAGCGGCGGACGGGUGAGUAACACGUGGGUAACCUACCUAUAAGACUGGGAUAACUUCGGGAAACCGGAGCUAAUACCGGAUAAUAUUUCGAACCGCAUGGUUCGAUAGUGAAAGAUGGCUUUGCUAUCACUUAUAGAUGGAUCUGCGCCGUAUUAGCUAGUUGGUAAGGUAACGGCUUACCAAGGCAACGAUACGUAGCCGACCUGAGAGGGUGAUCGGCCACACUGGAACUUAGACACGGUCCAGACUCCUACGGGAGGCAGCAGUAGGGAAUCUUCCGCAAUGGUCGAAAGCCUUACGGAGCAACGCCGCGUGAGUGAUGAAGGUCUUCGGAUCGUAAAACUCUGUUAUUAGUGAAGAACAAACGUGUAAGUAACUGUGCACGUCUUGACGGUACCUAAUCAGAAAGCCACGGCUAACUACGUG
rnacentral:rRNA from 1 species